UACGUAGGGUGCAAGCGUUAAUCGGAAUUACUGGGCGUAAAGCGUGCGCAGGCGGUUUCGUAAGUCUGUCGUGAAAUCCCCGGGCUCAACCUGGGAAUUGCAUUUGUGACUGCACGGCUAGAGUGCGGUAGAGGGGGAUGGAAUUCCGCGUGUAGCAGUGAAAUGCGUAGAUAUGCGGAGGAACACCGAUGGCGAAGGCAAUCCCCUGGGCCUGCACUGACACUCAUGCACGAAAGCGUGGGGAGCAAACAGG
rnacentral:rRNA from 1 species